GAAAUUCUAUGUUAUUGGUGGAGUUGGAGGAAGUGAGGCUAAGGUUCUUACAUGUGGUGAAGAGUACGAUUUAGAAACUCGAAAAUGGACUGAAAUUCCCAAUAUGUCGCCUGGCCGUAGUGCUGCUGCUAGGGACGGUGAUAUGCCGGCCGCAGCUGAAGCACCGCCUCUUCUUGCUGUGGUGAAUAAUGAACUCUAUGCUGCAGAUCACACUGACAUGGAGGUUAGGAAAUAUG
rnacentral:misc_RNA from 1 species